GAUGAACGCUGGCGGCGUGCCUAAUACAUGCAAGUCGAGCGAAUGGAUUAAGAGCUUGCUCUUAUGAAGUUAGCGGCGGACGGGUGAGUAACACGUGGGUAACCUGCCCAUAAGACUGGGAUAACUCCGGGAAACCGGGGCUAAUACCGGAUAACAUUUUGAACCGCAUGGUUCGAAAUUGAAAGGCGGCUUCGGCUGUCACUUAUGGAUGGACCCGCGUCGCAUUAGCUAGUUGGUGAGGUAACGGCUCCCCAAGGCAACGAUGCGUAGCCGACCUGAGAGGGUGAUGGGCCACACUGGGACUGAGACACGGCCCAGACUCCUACGGGAGGCAGCAGUAGGGAAUCUUCCGCAAUGGACGAAAGUCUGACGGAGCAACGCCGCGUGAGUGAUGAAGGCUUUCGGGUCGUAAAACUCUGUUGUUAGGGAAGAACAAGUGCUAGUUGAAUAAGCUGGCACCUUGACGGUACCUAACCAGAAAGCCACGGCUAACUACGUGCCAGCAGCCGCAGUAA
rnacentral:rRNA from 1 species